AACGUUUAUGAUAAUAUUAUCGGUUCGAUCGUUUUUAUUUUAUACGUUGACCGGCGUUACACAAUGUUCGCGUUGAAAAAAAAAACACUACACUACACACAACUAACCGAAAUAAUAUUAUGGUUUUUAUAUGUCGAUAUUAUUGGACGCUAAAAGCCAAAAUAACAACACGGGCGUUUAUGAACGCUGAACAUUUUAAUAUUUUCGUGAAUGUCGAAUGAGUUCG